rnacentral:rRNA from 1 species
AACGCGAAGAACCUUACAGUACGAUCGCAAGGUUGAAACUCAUAGGAAUUGACGGAGUCCAGCACAAGCGGUGGAGCAUGUGGUUUAAUUCUAAGCAACGCGAAGAACCUUACCAGGUCUUGACAUCCCGAUGCUAUUUCUAGAGAUAGAAAGUUUCUUCGGAACAUCGGUGACAGGUGGUGCAUGGUUGUCGUCAGCUCGUGUCGUGAGAUGUUGGGUUAAGUCACGCAACGAGCGCAACUCCUAUUGUUAGUUGCCAUCAUUUAGUUGGGCACUCUAGCGAGACUGCCGGUAAUAAACCGGAGGAAGGUGAGGAUGACGUCAAAUCAUCAUGCCCCUUAUGACCUGGGCUACACACGUGCUACAAUGGUUGGUACAACGAGUCGCAAGUCGGUGAAGCAAGCAAAUCUCUUAAAGCCAAUCUCAGUUCGGGGGUCUUGUACACACCG